rnacentral:rRNA from 1 species
AACGAACGCUGGCGGCGUGCCUAACACAUGCAAGUCGAGCGAGUGAAGUUCCUUCGGGGAUGGAUUUAUCGGCGGACGGGUGAGUAACACGUUUGCAACCUGCCUCAUAGAGGGGAAUAGCCUCCCGAAAGGGAGAUUAAUACCGCAUAAGAUUGUAGUACCGCAUGAUACAGCAAUUAAAGGAGCAAUCCGCUAUGAGAUGGGCCCGCGGCGCAUUAGCUAGUUGGUGAGGUAAUGGCUCACCAAGGCGACGAUGCGUAGCCGACCUGAGAGGGUGAUCGGCCACAUUGGGACUGAGACACGGCCCAGACUCCUACGGGAGGCAGCAGUGGGGAAUAUUGCACAAUGGGGGAAACCCUGAUGCAGCAACGCCGCGUGAGUGAUGACGGCCUUAGGGUUGUAAAGCUCUGUCUUCAGGGACGAUAAUGACGGUACCUGAGGAGGAAGCCACGGCUAACUACGUG